GAUGAACGCUGGCGGCAUGCCUUACACAUGCAAGUCGAACGGCAGCACGGGAGCUUGCUCCUGGUGGCGAGUGGCGAACGGGUGAGUAAUACAUCGGAACGUACCCUGAAGUGGGGGAUAACGUAGCGAAAGCUACGCUAAUACCGCAUAUUCUGUGAGCAGGAAAGCAGGGGAUCUUAGGACCUUGCGCUGAUUGAGCGGCCGAUAUCAGAUUAGCUAGUUGGUGAGGUAAAGGCUCACCAAGGCGACGAUCUGUAGCGGGUCUGAGAGGAUGAUCCGCCACACUGGAACUGAGACACGGUCCAGACUCCUACGGGAGGCAGCAGUGGGGAAUCUUGCGCAAUGGGCGAAAGCCUGACGCAGCAACGCCGCGUGGGGGAUGAAGGCUCUCGGGUUGUAAACCCCUUUCAGCAGGGACGAAUCAAGACGGUACCUGCAGAAGAAGCCCCGGCUAACUACGUGCCAGCAGCCGCGGU
rnacentral:rRNA from 1 species